rnacentral:rRNA from 1 species
UACGUAGGGUCCGAGCGUUGUCCGGAAUUACUGGGCGUAAAGCGCGUGUAGGUGGCGAUGUAAGUCGGGUGUGAAAUCCCUCAGCUUAACUGAGGAAGUGCACUCGAUACUGUGUCGCUUGAGUGUUGGAGGGGAUGGCGGAAUUCCCGGUGUAGAGGUGAAAUUCGUAGAUAUCGGGAGGAACACCUGUGGCGAAGGCGGCCAUCUGGACAACUACUGACACUGAGACGCGAAAGCGUGGGUAGCAAACAGG